AAGUCGUAACAAGGUUUCCGUAGGUGAACCUGCGGAAGGAUCAUUAUUGAAAUCGGGGCAGCUCGGGUGCGCCCUGCGCCGGCGGAGACGCCGUGCCGCGGGCCCCCUUGCGCCUCUUCCACACCCACACCCCUGUGCACCUUUGGGAAGGCGGGCGCUCGUCGCCCGUCGGCCCGCUACACAAACUCUUGUAAUGUCUUAAGAAUGUAACGCGGCCUCCGAGCCGCUUAAAACAGUAACAACUUUCAACAACGGAUCUCUUGGCUCUC
rnacentral:misc_RNA from 1 species